rnacentral:rRNA from 1 species
GAGUUUGAUCAUGGCUCAGGACGAACGCUGGCGGCGUGCUUAACACAUGCAAGUCGAGCGAUGAAGCUCCUUCGGGAGUGGAUNAGCGGCGGACGGGUGAGUAACACGUGGGUAACCUACCUCAAAGAGGGGGAUAGCCUCCCGAAAGGGANAUUAAUACCGCAUAAUAAUCAGUUUUCACAUGGAGACUNAUUUAAAGGAGUAAUCCGCUUUGAGAUGGACCCGCGGCGCAUUAGCUAGUUGGUAGGGUAACGGCCUACCAAGGCGACGAUGCGUAGCCGACCUGAGAGGGUGAUCGGCCACAUUGGAACUGAGAGACGGUCCNGNCUCCUACGGGAGGCAGCAGUGGGGAAUAUUGCACAAUGGGCGAAAGCCUNAUGCAGCAACGCCGCGUGAGUGAAGAAGGUUUUCGGAUUGUAAAGCUCUGUCUUUGGGGACGAUAAUGACGGUACCCAAGGAGGAAGCCACGGCUAACUACGUGCCAGCAGCCNCGGUAAUACGUAGGUGGCGAGCGUUGUCCGGAAUUACUGGGCGUAAAGAGUGCGUAGGCGGAUAUUUAAGUGAGAUGUGAAAUNNCNGGGCUUAACCCNGCUACUGCAUUUCAAACUGGAUAUCUAGAGUGCGGGAGAGGAGAAUGGAAUUCCUAGUGUAGCGGUGAAAUGCGUAGAGAUUAGGAAGAACACCAGUGGCGAAGGCGAUUCUCUGGACCGUNACUGACGCUGAGGCACGAAAGCGUGGGUAGCAAACAGGAUUAGAUACCCUGGUAGUCCACGCCGUAAACGAUGAGUACUAGGUGUAGGAGGUAUCGACCCCUUCUGUGCCGCAGUAAACACAAUAAGUACUCCGCCUGGGAAGUACGAUCGCAAGAUUAAAACUCAAAGGAAUUGACGGGGCCGCAACAAGCAGGCAGGAGAUUCAGGAAAUUCGAGUACGAACGCGAAGAACCUUACCUGGACUUGACAUACCCUGAAUAUCUUAGAGAUAAGAGAAGCCCUUNGGGGNANGGAUACAGGUGGUGCAUGGUUGUCGUCAGCUCGUGUCGUGAGAUGUUAGGUUAAGUCCUGCAACGAGCGCAACCCCNGUUGUUAGUUGCUAACAUUUAGUUGAGCACUCUAGCAAGACUGNCGCGGUUAACGCGGAGGAAGGUGGGGAUGACGUCAAAUCAUCAUGCCCNNNAUGUCCAGGGCAACACACGUGCUACAAUGGGCAGUACAGAGAGAAGCAAGACCGCAAGGUGGAGCAAACCUCAAAAACUGCCCCCAGUUCGGAUUGCAGGCUGAAACUCGCCUNCAUGAAGUUGGAGUUGCUAGUAAUCGCGAAUCAGAAUGUCGCGGUGAAUACGUUCCCNGGNNUUGUACACACCGCNCGUCACACCAUGAGAGCUGGCAACACCCGAAGUCCGUAGUCUAACUUAGGAGGACGCGGCCGAAGGUGGGGUUAGGGGCCUCGUACACACCG